CAAAGGAAUCUGUAAAAUAAAGUCUUGACAAGGAAUGUGCUUUCUCUAGAGCUUACACUAUAAAAAGCUGUAAUAGGAUUGAAUCAGGAUCAAUUACAAUCAUCCCUUUCAACUUCUAAAUUCCCUCAUCAGAUAGCUUUAAUUACUCCUACUGGGCAUGAUGUCAUUCUGAAAUUUGUAUUUUCGAGGGCAAGAAAGUUGAUCAAUACCAUAACAAGACAGUCACGUGCUUGCAGUUUAAGAGCCUAGAUAAACUUACAUAAGCACUAAUUGUUAUUUUGCAAUUUGUCUAAAAGCUUGAUGAGAUUUGGCUAAUACUGCCCCUGCGUGCCUGUAAUCUACUGCCAAAUACCUGGGAUAAGGUAACGGUAUUACGGUUGUCAUCUGUGGAGCUGUUUUCCCUGUCAGGCUCCAUCCCUGCAACUUUCUCUGGCACCUCAUUAUCAAGUUGUGUCGUUCCACAUAGCUUUGAUGUGCUCUGCCCAUUUUCCUGCCUGGAGAUAGGAGGGGAGUCACACGUUUCCAUGGCAAUUGCUACAUGGGGAUCUCAUUUCAUCCAGCCUGUCAGGGACCUGGAUAAAAAAUAAGGCAGCAUUUCAGACCAUAAAUUCCCUUUGCUGAGAACAGGAUGCACUCUGUAAGGUCAUAUCAGUUUCUGGCAGCAGGUUACCAAGUGUGCACAAACAAUGUAUACAUACUGAAGGCAGCCAAAAUGCCUAAAAUAUAAUCCCCUGCUAGACUGAAGGAAAUGAGGAAGUCAGGAAGAGACUAGAGAGUUGGAGUGGAAGCAGAGUGCACGAGAGAAAAUGCUUCUGCAAGAAGGAAUUAAUGAAGAGAACUGCAAAAGAAUGUGUGACGACCUCUUCUGACACGGCAAAAACUUUCCACCCAUGUCACGACAAAGGGGAGAAGAAAAAGACCCAAAAAUGCAUUAAACGUCUAAAAGCCCUCCAAACCAAAACAACCCAUGAUGAUGGAGUGGUAGAGGUGGAGGACGGUCCUCCUAGAUGUCAUCUAGGACAAGCAAACAUGAGGAAUGAUCAGUCACCUAAAUACAUGAUGCUGGUGUGUGAACUCCUGACCUGAAUGACUAAAACACCUACUCAGGACUUGUCUUGGACCAUCAGGGCAUUAUGACAUAUUAACCAAGUCAAGCUGCCCAAUUCUUAAAUGUUGUCUGUUUAUUUUUUCAAUCUCCAGAAUGUUAAAGUGGCUAAUUAUAUCAGAGAUAAGUUGCUUGCCAAAUAGGA